rnacentral:lncRNA from 1 species
UUAUUUCCUAAAUCACCCUCAUUUUUCAUGUUAAAAAUGAAUGUUAAGGAUAAUUUGGAUAACUCAGCCAUUUUAGACUCAUUAAUUUCAAAACACUCCCUAUUAAUUAGCAGGCCUAUUUUUGUCUCCAGAUAUCCCCCAAAACAUUUGCAACGAAACAUUUUUCAUUCUUUUCAGACACUUGCCAAGAUAAGUUUGAUUGUACUAUUUUCCCCUGAGUUUUCAAAAAGAUGUCUUAUUUCUUACUAAACUUCUUUGUUAAAGCAGAGAUUUUUAUGUCAUUAUUUCAUAUUCAAAUCAAUCAUUAAAGUUGUCAUUGUAGGAAAAGGAUAGAUACUGAGAUCUGAGCUCUUCUAACUCCCUGUCUUGAUCAUUUGGCUAAUGCUCAUCCAAAAGAAAGAUUAUUUAUGUUUUAGAGACAAACAUUUAAAUGAACCAAUUAUGAGCAAUAUCUAAAUCUAAAGUUUAGCUAAGGACGCAUACAUGCACACAUACUCACAUAUAAAUACAUGUUUAUACUCUUUGAAUGGUGACAUAAAAACUGAAAAUUGAAGAGGAUUCCAUCAUUAGGUGAAUGAUUUGACAAUUUGAUAUAUUAAUGUGGUAGAAUAACAGUGUGCUUUUAGAAAUGAUAGAGAUGGUUUCAGAGAAAUUUAGGAAGACUUGUUUGAAUCUGAUGAAAAAUAAAGUGAGCAGUUAUAGAAAAACAAUUCAUAAAAUAACUAAGUUCAUAACCAGCUCUAACAUGUUAAUACAGAAUUAUAAUUACUUUUCUUUCUUCAUCACCAGGGGCAGCUGGAUGGAGUGUAGGCUUCAAAUCGGGGAGACAACUUCAAAUCCAUCCUCAGAUUUCUCUGAAUUGUUUUCCAUAAAGAAAAUAAACCAUUGUUGAUUGAUUGAUUGGAAGACCUUGAGGAAACAGUUAUAAAGAUCCAAUGAAAACCUAAAAUCCUUGGUGUAGGAAAUUGAAAUUGAAAAUAAGCACCAGCCUCAUUCUACGUGGUGCAUGUUUAUUUUUUAAACUUUUGAGCUUCUGCGAGAAUGGAUUGUCAUGGUAUCUCUCCAGCAGGGACUAGCCACAGCUCAGUUCCCACUUACCCUGAAGCUAUACAGCUGCCUAUUGACAUUUCUCAGUGUGAUGUUAAAUGAGCCUAUGGGAGCCCAAAUGUUGCCAUAUAUGUAACGAGAGUUCUAAGUUCAGCUAAUAAAAAGAAAUAUUGGUUUAAUGACUACUAGCCC